GACGUAGGGCGCGAGCGUUGUCCGGAUUUAUUGGGCGUAAAGAGCUCGUAGGCGGCUUGUCGCGUCGUGUGUGAAAUCUCAGGGCUCAACUCUGACAUUGCAUACGAUACGGGCAGGCUUGAGUUCGGUAGGGGAGACUGGAAUUCCUGGUGUAGCGGUGAAAUGCGUAGAUAUCAGGAGGAACACCGGUGGCGAAGGCGGCUCUCUGGACGGUGACUGACGCUGAGACGCGAAAGCGUGGGGAGCAAACAGG
rnacentral:rRNA from 1 species